AGCGAACGCUGGCGGCAGGCUUAACACAUGCAAGUCGAACGGUCCUUCGGGAUAGUGGCGGACGGGUGAGUCACACGUGGGAACAUACCCUUAGGUUCGGAACAACACAGGGAAACUUGUGCUAAUACCGGAUAAGCCCUUCGGGGGAAAGAUUUAUCGCCUUUGGAGCGGCCCGCGUCUGAUUAGCUUGUUGGUGAGGUAAUGGCGCACAAGGCUACGAUCAGUAGCUGGUCUGAGAGGAUGGCCAGCCACACUGGGACUGAGACACGGCCCAGACUCCUACGGGAGGCAGCAGUGGGGAAUCUUGAGCAAUGGGCGAAAGCUUGACGCAGCCAUGCCGCGUGGAUGAUGAAGGUCUUAGGAUUGUAAAAUCCUUUCACCGGGGACGAUAAUGACGGUACCCGGAGAAGAAGCCCCGGCUAACUUCGUGCCAGCCGCCGCCGUAA
rnacentral:rRNA from 1 species